GGGACACACUAGCACUUGAGAUCCUAACACCAUCAAUAUGGUUACGGCUACUAAACAUUCUCUUCAGCUGUUAGCGAUGCUCAUCUUCCUCAUAAGCUUUUUGGCUCUUGCUAAGCCAGCUUUAAUGGCAGAUUGUGUCCCGGAAAAUUUUAACCGCACUUAUUUUCCAGAUGACUUCAUUUUUGGGACAGCCACUUCUGCUUAUCAGGUAUAAAUUAACCUUUGUAUACAUGUUUCACUCGUGUUAGAGUGAAAGUUCUUCAUAUUUUCCAUUGUCUAAAAUGAUGAAUAUAAGUGACAAAUAAAUAAACAAUUAUUAAAUACAUUGUUGUCCCAAAAUAGUCCAAGAGGGGGGUGAAUUGGACUUUAACAAUUUUUCGGCCCUUGCUUGUAGCCUAAUGAAAAAUUAUGGCUUUGUUCAACUAGGUGCUUCUCUACAUAUAAUGAAAGUAAUAUGUGUUUCAACAAUGUGUUCCUAAGUUGCAAUUCAAGCUUCAAUCUAUAUUUAUAGCUAUAUCUAACAAAACAUGCAUCAUACAAUAUACAACUAAUUUCUCAACUCACUCAGUAUGUCCUCAAUUUUAUUAAUUCAAUCUAUUCAACCAACAUUCAAUAUCAUGUAUAAAAGGAAAAAAGUUAAAUUGCACAAAAGUAAGGAGGUCAAGGUUAGAGAGAUCAAACACAACGAUUUUUAUAGUGGUUCGGCUUAACUAGCCUACAUCCACUCUCUCAAAGAACCCUCUUUGAGUCUUGUCUCCACUAUUUGCUCUUUUGAAGGCAAGAGACCAAAAGCCCUUUACAAUUUCUCAACACCAAGCUUUUACACCAAGGUAGCUUGAAACCUUCUCAAGUGCAAUCACAAGCACUAACUCUCCCAAGCUUCAAUAGGUGCUUGUACAACCUCUCUUGAAUGCAAUUUAAUAUUUCAACACUCACUCUUACUCAAUACAAAUCAAACUAUAAAGAAGAGAUGAGUUGAUUUGCCAAUGGUAACUCAAAGACUUUAAAGCUCUUGAAUGAAAGCAAUAAAUGAAAAUUCAAUGUUGGAGAUCAAAUGUAAGCUUUCAUUAAAUUGUAAAUGAAGUAAAGAAGGUGUAUUUAUAGUCCCAAAUCAUUUUAGACCGUUUGAAACCCUUUUGGAACGUUAUACACACUGCCCAAGACAAAAUAGCCGUUAUUUUGUCCUUUUGUGCGAAGUUGAGCAGCUCUGGACAGUUAGCAAACUAAUAAAAUUUUAGGAGCAGUCAGCAAACUGGUUAGCAAACUAAUGUUUUUAGCAAACAUAUUAGCAAACCGAAAAUUUUAGCAAACCAGUUAGGAAACUAAGUCAACAGCUGCAUGUCUCAACUUGUAAUAUUUAAAAAAUCUGAUUUAGACUUUAAGAAAAAUAUGUUCCAAUAGUAAUAUCCAAGGUCAUGAUGAGAGAAAAUUUUAAAAGAAAAAAAAUUUAAUUUUGAGCUCCAUUUGACUAAACUUUCAUCUAUUCUUUUUACACAAGUCUUAAGACUCAAUUUCUAACUCUAUUACUUUCAUACAUUUACUUUGAGUCUUGAUUUACAUAAUCUUAUUCUUUCUCAUCUUGAAUUUGUCUUGAGAUGCCUUUGAGUAUUCUUCCUCCUUAGAUGCAACUUCAAAGAUUCUUUAUAAAUAAGAGAAAUAAUCUACACAUCACUUUAAAGUUGGGUUAGAUAGAUUCUCUUUGAGUUUUGUUAUCAUCAAAAUCAAUGCUCAUUUUGAGCUACACGGGGUCAACAAUCUCCCCCUUUUUGAUGAUGACAAAACUCAAUUGAAUCACCAUGUAAAUGUCAAUAAGUGUGAGUAUGUGUAUGGAUGUAUAUGUGAGAAUAACUCCCCCUAUGUAUGUGCUUAUAUCAACAAUUAAUCACAAAUAACUCCCCCUUAAUAAUUUCAAUAAAACAUCCAUAAGCAUUUUCUUAAGGAGUCAAGUGUGACUAAAAAUACUAACUGAAUAUGCACAACAUACACACUAAUCACAAACUGUAUAUAUCAUUCACAAGUGAUAUCAACAAUAUGCACACCAUAAAAUUAUAUCAACAAUAUACUAUUCACAAACUAUAUCAACCAUGAGUAAUCACAAACUAUAUCAAGUAUCAAGAUUACCAUUCAUUACUUUUCUCCCCCUUUUUGUCAGCAUCAAAAGAAUACGGGAGAAAGCAUGCACAUGUGAAUAAAUCAAAAUUCAGUGUAAGUGCAGUGAAUAAACAGUCAAAACAGUAACUGAUAUAGCAGACUAAUUUAAAGUUCAGAAAAACCAAAAGUAGCAAACUAAGUAGCAAACUAACAGACAGACUAUUAGACAAAAUUCAAUCAGAAUUCAGUUUAUCCUUUCAGCCUAGAGCUUCUUCUGAUUGGUUUUGGAGCAGCCAUUUUCAGCUUUUUGGGCUUGACAGGUUUGUCACUCAAGGUUUGAAGAAUUGCAACAGCCAAUUCAGUUCCGGGUGUCAAAGGAAUAAUAGGCCCAGCUGUUAACUCAGUUGCAGCAGUAGUACCAGACUCAGCUGCAGACUUUUUGCCAGUUUUAGUCUUUUUGCCAGAGGGUUUACCAGUUUCCUCUUUUUGUUUGCUUCUUUGUUCCUUUUGAGCUGUUUUUCCCUUUCCUUUUGUAGGAGCAGCAGGAGCAGGUGUCUCUGGUUCUGCCUCAGACUCUGAGUCACUCAUAUCUUUCCCACUACCUUCUUUGCUGCCUCCAUUACCAUUCUCAUCAUCAGAAUCAUCUUCAUCUUUUUCAGCUUCAUCUUCUUCCUCUUCUUCCUGUUCUUCCUCUUUCUCUUCUUCUUUUUCUUUUUCUUCCUCUUCUUCUGUUUCUUUCUCUUCCUCUUCUUCUGUUUCUUCUUCUUCCUCUUCUGUUUCUUGUUCUUCCUCUUCUUCUUCCUUUUCUGCUUCUUUCCCCUGUUCCUCUUCCUUUUCUUCCUUCUUCUUCAAUUCUGGAUCUUCAAGACAGUCAGAAGCCUGCUACAUAACAAACUACUAACCCAAAAGCAAUCUCCAUCUCUCCCUCUCUCCAAAACGGAGAAAAAUAAACACUAGGAAAACAACUAAGAUUGAAAAAGCAGUGAAGAUAUAAACGCUGAAAAUCACGUAUGACUAAAACUAAAACAAAGUAAUUAUUCUCCAUCUCUCCACUUAGUUAAGACAAGAUGCACAGAAGAAAUCAUAAUAUCAAAAUUAGAUAUUAAUAUAUCAUGAGAGAGAGAGAGAGAGAGAGA
rnacentral:misc_RNA from 1 species